CAGUUUGAUUCUGACUGAAAAAUUAACUAUCUACCACCCAACAUACAUGUAAGAUAUUUAAACCCGCCAUUAACUAUUUCUAAAUGACUAAAUAAAAUGUAUUCAGACAUCCUAAAUACAAUAGAGCGCCACAGUAGAUAACACUUUUCAAUUUGAGAAAUCAAGAAAAGAGUAUGGUAUAAGGGCUGGCAAAAUUCGUGCCAGCUGCCGCGGUUAGACGAUAAACCCAAGUUAAUAUAAUAUAAACUAAUUAAUGAUAGGUUAAACAACAAUAAAAGUCUAAUUUUUAAAGUUCUUGACCCGUAUCUAUCAGUAAACAAUGAAAUCAUGAACUAAAACAUGGAUUAGAUACCCAUUUAUUCAUGACAUAAAUAACAGUUGAAUAUUACGAACAACAGUUUAAAAUUCAAAGAUUUUGGCGGUGUCUUAUAAAACCAGGGGAACCUGUCUCAUAACUCGAUAAUCCACGUAUAUUCAACCUUCUUUAGAUCCCAGCAUGUGUACUGCCGUUGUAAGCAUACCUUUAAAAGCAAGUAUGCUAUCAUGACUAAACACCACAUACAUCAGGUCAAAGUGCAGCUAAUAAGAAGGAGAUGAUGGGUUACAACCCUAAACAAGAUAAUCAACUAAGAAAUAAAAAAUCUUACGAAAGUGGACUUGGCUGUAAUUAAUUUACAAGUUAAAAAAAUGAAUAAAACCCUAAGACAUGUACACAUCGCCCGUCACUCUAUCCUAAAGGUUAGAUAAGUCGUAACAAAGUAGGUGUAAUGGAAAUUGCACCUGU
rnacentral:ncRNA from 1 species